rnacentral:tRNA from 1 species
GCGCCCGUAGCUCAAUUGGAUAGAGCGUCGGCCUCCGGAGCCGAAGGUUACAGGUUCGAGUCCUGUCGGGCGCGCCA